rnacentral:lncRNA from 1 species
AGAAUAUAUAUCUUUAAGUCAUUAAUUUAUAAGAUGAUUCUUGGACACAUUAGACCAGAAUGGAAAGAAAAAAUGCUCUUUAUGGAUAAUCAAAAAAUAUGUCCUAGAACUAUUACAAUGUGUCUAUCAAUUUGGCUUUUCAGGACAUACAUCUAACAUGGAGGUGGUGCAUGUGUGUGUGCCACAUACAUUUGAUCAAUCAAAAAGAUAAUGAUGGGCG